GACGAACGCUGGCGGCGUGCUUAACACAUGCAAGUCGAACGGAAAGGCCUUUUCGGAGGUACUCGAGUGGCGAACGGGUGAGUAACACGUGGGUGAUCUGCCCUGCACUCUGGGAUAAGCCUGGGAAACUGGGUCUAAUACCGGAUAGGACCGCACUUUAGUGUGUGUGGUGGAAAGUUUUUUCGGUGUAGGAUGAGCCCGCGGCCUAUCAGCUUGUUGGUGGGGUAAUGGCCUACCAAGGCGGCGACGGGUAGCCGGACUGAGAGGUUGGUCGGCCACAUUGGGACUGAGAUACGGCCCAGACUCCUACGGGAGGCAGCAGUGGGGAAUAUUGCACAAUGGGCGCAAGCCUGAUGCAGCGACGCCGCGUGGGGGAUGACGGCCUUCGGGUUGUAAACUCCUUUCGCCAGGGACGAAGCGUUUUGUGACGGUACCUGGAGAAGAAGCACCGGCUAACUACG
rnacentral:rRNA from 2 species